rnacentral:misc_RNA from 1 species
GCUUAAUUGAGUUGAGUUGAGUUUAGAAGAAACACUUAGUGCCUUUCAGAUUUUCAUUUAAGUUUUCCUUUUAUUAUCUAUUUUUCACUUUAAUUUCAAUUGCUUUUAAACUAUUUUAUUAUUAUUUUCAUUAAAACUUUGGAAGAAAUUUAAUUUCUAGUAAAAUAUAAUUUAUAGUUAUAACUUAUAAAAAUAAAUGUUGUGAUAUUUUGACUUAUUGUGGUUGCUUAUUUUUGGAAUUUUUAUUUUUAAAAUCUUUU